rnacentral:RNase_P_RNA from 1 species
CCACGCUGAGCUGCAGCGCCUGCAAGGGCGUGGGGCGAGAGCCUUGGUUCCUGAGCAGAAACGGAACGUCCAAUCGUGGGGUGACUAUGAUGCGUACUAACUCGUUGAGGAUGCGGUUGGGUGCGGUGAAACGGCUGACCUGCAGGGUGAAAGGGCAAAUAGGCGUCUGUGAGUUCUGCGGGAGACGCGGGUAGCCCGUAUAGCUGAAUGCCGUCAAAACAAAAGGCGGGUUA